UACAGAGGUCCCAAGCGUUGUUCGGAUUCACUGGGCGUAAAGGGUGCGUAGGCGGUCGGGUAAGUCUGAUGUGAAAUCUCACAGCUUAACUGUGAAACUGCAUUGGAUACUAUCCGGCUCGAGGAAUGGAGGGGAGACUGGAAUUCCUGGUGUAGCGGUGAAAUGCGCAGAUAUCAGGAGGAACACCGGUGGCGAAGGCGGUUCUCUGGGCAUUACCUGACGCUGAGGAGCGAAAGUGUGGGGAGCGAACAGG
rnacentral:rRNA from 1 species